GCUUGUCUCAAAGAUUAAGCCAUGCAAGUCUUAGUAUAAACUGUUAUACGGUGAAACUGCGAAUGGCUCAUUAAAUCAGUUAUAGUUUAUUUGAUGGUCUGCAGCUGCUGGAUAACCGCAGUAAUACUGGAGCUAAUACAUGACACUAUGCCCGACUUAUGGAGGGCAGUGUUUAUUAGAUAUGUGAGCUGACGUGAGUUGGUGAAUCUUAGUAAAUGUUAUCGGACCGAGCUUUGAGAGCUUGGUGGAUCAUUCAAGUUUCUGCCCUAUCAACUUUCGAUGGUAAGGUAUUGGCUUACCAUGGUGACCACGGGUAACGGGGGAUUAGGGUUCGAUUCCGGAGAGGGAGCCUGAGAAAUGGCUACCACUUCCAAGGAAGGCAGCAGG
rnacentral:rRNA from 1 species